rnacentral:rRNA from 1 species
UGAGGAAGUAAAAGUCGUAACAAGGUCUCCGUUGGUGAACCAGCGGAGGGAUCAUUACCGAGUUCUAUAACUUUGUAAAACCCUAUGUGAAAUGUAUUCAUGUAUGCCUCGGCAGGAGCUGCUACGCUUUCUCGAGGGGGAGGGCUGCUACCCUGUAGCAACCCCCCUUUCCCGGGACGUGGCGCGGCCCUGUAAUUGGACCCGUUCCUGCCAGCAGGCUUCUAAAAUUCUAUUUACCACUAUAUAUUCAGAUUUUAUUAUGUAUAAUAAGUUAAAACUUUCAACAACGGAUCUCUUGGUUCUGGCAUCGAUGAAGAACGCAGCGAAAUGCGAUAAGUAAUGUGAAUUGCAGAAUUCAGUGAAUCAUCGAAUCUUUGAACGCACAUUGCGCCCAUUAGUAUUCUAGUGGGCAUGCCUAUUCGAGCGUCAUUUCAACCCUUAAGCCUCAGUUAGCUUAGCGUUGGGAGACUGAGCCCCCCCAGGGGCCCAGCUCCUCAAAGUCAGCGGCGGAAUUAGGGCGUAUCCUAAGCGUAGUAGUCUAUAUCUCGCUUCUGCGGUACCCCUGAUCUCUAGCCGUUAAACCCCCCUAUAAUCUAGUGGUUGACCUCGGAUUAGGUAGGAAUACCCGCUGAACUUAAGCAUA